rnacentral:rRNA from 1 species
UACGUAGGGUGCAAGCGUUGUCCGGAAUUAUUGGGCGUAAAGAGCUCGUAGGCGGCUUGUCGCGUCGGACGUGAAAGCUCAGGGCUUAACCCUGAGUCUGCGUUCGAUACGGGCAGGCCAGAGGCAGGUAGGGGAGAACGGAAUUCCCGGUGUAGCGGUGAAAUGCGCAGAUAUCGGGAGGAACACCAGUAGCGAAGGCGGCACUCUGGGCCGUGACUGACGCUGAGGAGCGAAAGCGUGGGUAGCAAACAGG